CAGCCGCCGCGGUAAUACGAAGGGUGCAAGCGUUACUCGGAAUUACUGGGCGUAAAGCGUCCGUAGGUGGUGGUUUAAGUCCGUUGUGAAAGCCCUGGGCUCAACCUGGGAAUUGCAGUGGAUACUGGGUCACUAGAGUGUGGUAGAGGAUAGUGGAAUUUCCGGUGUAGCAGUGAAAUGCGUAGAGAUCGGAAGGAACAUCUGUGGCGAAGGCGGCCCCCUGGACAAAGACUGACGCUCAGGUGCGAAAGCGUGGGGAGCAAACAGGAUUAGAUACCCGUGUAGUCCCUGUCUCUUAUAC
rnacentral:rRNA from 1 species